rnacentral:rRNA from 1 species
CGACGGUACAGGUCUUCGGAUGCUGACGAGUGGCGGACGGGUAAGUAAUGCGUAGGAAUCUGUCUUUGAGUGGGGGACAACCCAGGGAAACUUGGGCUAAUACCGCAUAGCCCUGAGGGGGAAAGCGGGGGAUCUUCGGACCUCGCGCUGGAAGAGGAGCCUACGUCUGAUUAGCUAGUUGGUAGGGUAAGGGCCUACCAAGGCGACGAUCGGUAGCUGGUCUGAGAGGACGACCAGCCACACUGGGACUGAGACACGGCCCAGACUCCUACGGGAGGCAGCAGUGGGGAAUUUUUCGCAAUGGGGGCAACCCUGACGAAGCAAUGCCGCGUGAAUGAAGAAGGCCUUCGGGUUGUAAAGUUCUUUCGUGGAGGACGAAAAGGUGGGUGCUAAUAUCGCCUGCUGUUGACGUGAAUCCAAGAAGAAGCACCGGCUAACUCCGUGCCAGCCGCCGCGGUAAUAC